AACCAGCAAAUUAGGACCUUGUGGUCAAUUCCUGAAUCCUAUCUUGCUCUUGAGUUCCAGGUCAAGUUAUGUUCUCAUCUGUCAAGCUGACGAAGAAUGAAGUCAGAAGGCAGAUGAUCCCUCAUGAGUGCAUUGGGACCAAGACGAGGGGACUGAAGAUAACUUGGAAGUGUUCAGAAAACUAUUGGGCAUAUGAGGUGGGAAGCACAGUACUAGGUAUCCUUUGACAUGAAAUAUACCAGGUCAAUAAGACUUUGUGAGAGAAGAGACAAGGAAAGUGACAUCCUUUCAACCAGGACAGGCACUGUCCAUUCCUUGUGUGAGAGGCCAAAGGGAGCUGUGCACUUGGAAAGCUGCUGAAUCCCCCAAUGAGAUGAAGAUAUUGCAGAUAAAGGAUUUCCUGGUCUGGAUCCUCUUCAUGAAACGCCUUGUCAAUUCCUCCAGUCUUGCCUAGGCUUGCACAUUCACCUGGAAGGUCAGAGGUGAGC
rnacentral:lncRNA from 1 species